rnacentral:pre_miRNA from 1 species
UCUUAUGGAUGAGCAAAUAAAGCAGUUUCCUAAGAUGGGAUUUACUCCAGGUGAAGAUUUUGUGAA